GGCAGCGGCCAUUGUCAUUAGAACUGUAAGGAACACGGUUGAUACAGGAAGAAUAGUUGUCUGCACAAUCCAUCAACCUAGCAUUGACAUCUUUGAAGCUUUCGAUGAGCUUCUACUGAUGAAAAGAGGAGGGCAAGUGAUAUACUCUGGACCUUUGGGCCGGAAUUCUCAGAAGAUAAUCGAAUACUUUGCAGAGAAAUAAAGCACUUGUUAAGGAGCUAAGCACUCCUGCCCCAGGAGCCGAAGAUAUCUAUUUCCCCACAUAAUAUUCUCAGUCUACUUUCGGGUAGUUCAAAUCAUGCCUUUGGAAGCAAUGGUUGACAUAUUGGAGAAGCCCUGACUAUAACCUCACCCGAUACUUCUUCACCUUAGUUGCUGCCCUCAUGCUUGGCAUGAUCUUUUGGCGGGUUGGCACAAAAAGGGAAAAUGCAAAUGAUCUAACCGUCAUUAUUGGAGCCAUGUACGCAUCCGUUCUAUUUGUUGGCAUCAACAACUGCUCGACCGUGCAACCAAUUGUAGCCAUCAAAAGACAGUGUUUUACCGAGAAAGAGAAGGUGUCCAGGUGAGAAUGUAUUGGGAGACCUUCAUGAAGGAAGGGAAUUAGAAGCUGGGUAAUGUCCUUUUGGAAGGGAAUUGAGAAAGGAGAUUUUAACAUUCCAUGUCUCAUCCACUCCUGUCAUGUCCACAACCUCAGAAAUCCAGAUUUAAUAUAUUGUCAUGAAGGUUUAAGAGUAAUAAAAAAUUGCAAUGUAGCAAUUUAAAUGCAUUUAACACUUGAUUAUGUUGUGCAGACAAUGAUGUUGAAUGAAAAAAUUCAGAGUCUUAAUGCUCUCCAAUCAAUUAUGAAGAAUGCAGAGGAAUAUCUGUCGAGGCUCCCUCCAGAGACACCCUAUUCAGAGUUUGAUGACAAGUACUGAAGAUGCCUAUUUUCCUUUUUCCUUUCACCCCAUGGGUCAUUUUCCCAAUCUAAUGUUCUGGGAUUGCCCAAUACCGGGGGCCAGGUUGUUUAUGUUUUGGAUCAAGUUCGUGCAUUGGAGCAUGAGAUGCUUCUCAGAAUAAAGCAGCAAGGCCUUGAUAUCAUGCCUCGAAUUCUCAUUGUAAGUUUCAUGAUGACAAUUUGCAUCUGGAUUGGCCCCAUGUUAUCCAAUAUCCUGAUUCUCCCUUAUCAUUGAACCCAUAAGAAAUCAUUUCUUGCCCAAAGUUAGGGAAUCACAAAUUUCCAUUUCCUGUUUGUUUAGAGAGAACUGUGGACAACCAUGGAAAAGCAAAUGAAUUCCCCUUGUGUGACAGAUUCCUGUGUUUGAGAAACACACCACAAAAAUCUUGUUAAAAAAUCUAGAUUCCAUGGUUACGAGGGACAACUCUACUGAUUGACCUUUGACCUUUAGAUUUCCAUUGAAAUGAUGGUGCAAAACAAACAGCCAUAAGGAAAUGUUUUUCCUCCCCUGCUGAUGUCAUUUUCCACAUUUAAGGGUUCCACAGAGUCUUUCCAUUUCCAGGUUUUGGUUUCACCCUGUCCAGAGAAGCCAGAAACAUGAGAUUUCUCUUCUAAUUUCUAAUUCUCAUUUGUUUUUACCUUCCUCAUGAUGCCUUUUUUUUUUUUUCUUUUUUGCUAUGGAACACAAGUGACUGGACUACUACCUGAUGCAGUCGGUACUACUUGCAAUCAACAUCUUGAGAAAGUACUUGGAUCAGAUCAUGCAAGCAUUCUCUGUGUUCCAUUCAGAAUGGAGAAGGAAAUUCUCCAGACUUAUAUGGAGGUUAAUCGUUAAUUAGAAAUCUUAGUUUUUGUCUAUUUAAUAUGAUCUGUUAUAGAUAUCAAGCUUCUGCAUUUGAUAUGCAGGCCCCAAUCUGCAUUUGAAAAGAAUGUUGAGGUUAUAUUCAUGAAUGCUUCUAAUCAAUCUUGCUGAAAUUACAAUACCAAUUGAAAGUAGCAAGGAAUCUAGCUAAUCUCUAAUCAAUAUGCAGUUUGCUUUUGUCUCCUGGUCUAUUCAUCAUGCGAGUCCCAAAUUAGGGGAAAAUAUUUGUGUACCAACAUGUUUAUCAUGGUCUAGUAACAUAGUGUUAUAAGUUAUAACCCAAGUAGUUUUUUGCUAACACAUGUGUGCCUUUCCUACUGUCUAAUGUGCUUUUAAAGUUUUUGCAUUAACAUGUGUCUCAACCAUGAAUGAUGAAUGCUCUCAGUAUAUUGGUCUCUCUUUCGACACAGUAGUACAGAACUUCGACAGCUGCAGCAGUUACACUGACCAUUAUUUGAGAGAAAAAAUCUGCAUGUUGUCAUAUUACAAAACAUGAUAUAGUGUUAUAAUCAUCUUAUAAUAGGGUUAGCAAAUGGAAUUUGUCAAUUUUCUUUCUUAUAAUGUGACUUGCUUUUUGUUCAUGUCACAAUGUUUACCUGAUCCGAACCUAUCAUCAGGUAGGCUCUCUAAUCUCUACCUUGGAUGGGACAUGUCCCAAAAUCACAGUGAUCUGGCAAAUCCUAAAUUUCAUUGGAGUUUUGGGGAAGAAAGUGGAUGGUUAUCAGAAGUCAACUGAAGUUAAUUUGACUUCCCAUUUUCACCCUUCAAAAUCCUUCAAUCUAAGGGUUACAUUGUCCAGUUGGCACAGGAUAUGGUAUGUGCCCCAUCCCAUGUGCUAGUUAUGUGUAUUAUUUUCCUGCUUUGCGGGCUUUAUAAUAAGUUGUUGUUUCCUCUUUAAAAAAAGGCAUUGGAUUGAACCCUGGAUCACUCACACACACCACACCGUCUCUGUCAGCUCAUCUAACUAGCGGGAGAUAUCUAACACACUACAUUUUCUUUUUGGUUGGAUGAUUCCUUUAGCCAUUCUUUAGGCCUGAUUUAUUGUGCAUGCUAUUUUUUGAGUGCAGGUAUCUUGUUCCUGCUGACUUAACUGUGGGGCAAUUUGUCUACGUGAUUCGAAAGAGGAUGAAUCUGACCCCUGAGAAGGCCAUUUUCAUCUUUGUGAAGAAUCUUUUGCCACCCACUGGUAAGGAAUUUGAGACAGAUUUCAUUACUUCCAUGAUGCUCCAUUUGGAUGCACCGAGUGUAUUGGAUUAGGAUCAGAUCAGGAAACAUUCACAUAUUGUUUGAAUAUUGGAUAGACCGUAAAAUGAUCUGGCAAAAUGGAUGGACGGAGUGAU